rnacentral:rRNA from 1 species
GGGUUGUGAGGUUAAGCGACUAAGCGUACACGGUGGAUGCCCUGGCAGUCAGAGGCGAUGAAGGACGUGCUAAUCUGCGAAAAGCGACGGUAAGGUGAUAUGAACCGCUACAGCCGUCGAUGUCCGAAUGGGGAAACCCGGUGCACUCUGUGCAUCAUCGUUUGAUGAAUACAUAGUCAAACGAGGCGAACCGGGGGAACUGAAACAUCUAAGUACCCCGAGGAAAAGAAAUCAACCGAGAUUCCCCCAGUAGCGGCGAGCGAACGGGGAGCAGCCCGGGACCUGAAUCAGCUUGUGCAUCAGUGGAAGCGUCUGGAAAGUCGCGCGAUACCGGGUGACAGCCCCGUACACGAAGAUGCACAGGUUGUGAGUCCGACGAGUAGGGCGGGACACGUGGUAUCCUGUCUGAAUAUGGGGGGACCAUCCUCCAAGGCUAAAUACUCCUGACUGACCGAUAGUGAACCAGUACCGUGAGGGAAAGGCGAAAAGAACCCCGGCGAGGGGAGUGAAACAGAACCUGAAACCGUGUACGUACAAGCAGUGGGAGCACCUUCGGGUGUGACUGCGUACCUUUUGUAUAAUGGGUCAGCGACUUAUAUUCUGUAGCAAGGUUAACCGCAUAGGGGAGCCGAAGGGAAACCGGGUCUUAACCGGGCGUUAAGUUGCAGGGUAUAGACCCGAAACCCGGUGAUCUAGCCAUGGGCAGGUUGAAGGUUGGGUAACACUAACUGGAGGACCGAACCGACUAAUGUUGAAAAAUUAGCGGAUGACUUGUGGCUGGGGGUGAAAGGCCAAUCAAACCGGGAGAUAGCUGGUUCUCCCCGAAAGCUAUUUAGGUAGCGCCUCGUGAACUCAUCCUCGGGGGUAGAGCACUGUUUCGGCUGGGGG